AUUGAACGCUGGCGGCAGGCCUAACACAUGCAAGUCGAGCGUGAAAGUUCUUCGGAAUGAGUAAAGUGGCGCACGGGUGAGUAACGCGUGGGAACGUGCCCUUCACUACGGGACAACGUCGGGAAACUGACGCUAAUACCGUAUAAUGACUCCGGUCCAAAGAUUUAUCGGUGAGGGAGCGGCCCGCGUCUGAUUAGCUAGUUGGUGAGGUAAUGGCUCACCAAGGCUACGAUCAGUAGCAGGUCUGAGAGGAUGAUCUGCCACACUGGGACUGAGACACGGCCCAGACUCCUACGGGAGGCAGCAGUUAGGAAUAUUGGACAAUGGGCGAAAGCCUGAUCCAGCCAUGCCGCGUGUGUGAUGAAGGCCCUAGGGUUGUAAAGCACUUUCGUUGGGGAAGAUAAAGACUGUACCCAAAGAAGAAGCACCGGCUAACUUCGUGCCAGCCGCCGCCGUAA
rnacentral:rRNA from 1 species